CGUGUACUGGUGGGGUCCCUCGGCCUGGCCUGCGCCCUCUAGCAAUCCAGGAUCCCUUGGGGGAUGUCAGACUGCCACUUUCAGCUCGAUCCCCGCAGGCCAGGCCGAGGGACCCCACUGGUACAUG
rnacentral:pre_miRNA from 1 species